GACGUGCUAAUCUGCGAUAAGCGUCGGUGAGGUGAUAUGAACCGUUAUAACCGGCGAUUUCCGAAUGGGGAAACCCAGUGUGUUUCGACACACUAUCAUUAACUGAAUCCAUAGGUUAAUGAGGCGAACCGGGGGAACUGAAACAUCUAAGUACCCCGAGGAAAAGAAAUCAACCGAGAUUCCCCCAGUAGCGGCGAGCGAACGGGGAGGAGCCCAGAGCCUGAAUCAGUGUGUGUAUUAGUGGAAGCGUCUGGAAAGGCGCGCGAUACAGGGUGACAGCCCCGUACACAAAAAUGCACAUGCUGUGAGCUCGAUGAGUAGGGCGGGACACGUGGUAUCCUGUCUGAAUAUGGGGGGACCAUCCUCCAAGGCUAAAUACUCCUGACUGACCGAUAGUGAACCAGUACCGUGAGGGAAAGGCGAAAAGAACCCCGGCGAGGGGAGUGAAAAAGAACCUGAAACCGUGUACGUACAAGCAGUGGGAGCCUCUUAAUGGGGUGACUGCGUACCUUUUGUAUAAUGGGUCAGCGACUUAUAUUCUGUAGCAAGGUUAACCGAAUAGGGGAGCCGAAGGGAAACCGAGUCUUAACUGGGCGUUAAGUUGCAGGGUAUAGACCCGAAACCCGGUGAUCUAGCCAUGGGCAGGUUGAAGGUUGGGUAACACUAACUGGAGGACCGAACCGACUAAUGUUGAAAAAUUAGCGGAUGACUUGUGGCUGGGGGUGAAAGGCCAAUCAAACCGGGAGAUAGCUGGUUCUCCCCGAAAGCUAUUUAGGUAGCGCCUCGUGAAUUCAUCUCCGGGGGUAGAGCACUGUUUCGGCAAGGGGGUCAUCCCGACUUACCAACCCGAUGCAAACUGCGAAUACCGGAGAAUGUUAUCACGGGAGACACACGGCGGGUGCUAACGUCCGUCGUGAAGAGGGAAACAACCCAGACCGCCAGCUAAGGUCCCAAAGUCAUGGUUAAGUGGGAAACGAUGUGGGAAGGCCCAGACAGCCAGGAUGUUGGCUUAGAAGCAGCCAUCAUUUAAAGAAAGCGUAAUAGCUCACUGGUCGAGUCGGCCUGCGCGGAAGAUGUAACGGGGCUAAACCAUGCACCGAAGCUGCGGCAGCGACACUAUGUGUUGUUGGGUAGGGGAGCGUUCUGUAAGCCUGUGAAGGUGGCCUGUGAGGGUUGCUGGAGGUAUCAGAAGUGCGAAUGCUGACAUAAGUAACGAUAAAGCGGGUGAAAAGCCCGCUCGCCGGAAGACCAAGGGUUCCUGUCCAACGUUAAUCGGGGCAGGGUGAGUCGACCCCUAAGGCGAGGCCGAAAGGCGUAGUCGAUGGGAAACAGGUUAAUAUUCCUGUACUUGGUGUUACUGCGAAGGGGGGACGGAGAAGGCUAUGUUGGCCGGGCGACGGUUGUCCCGGUUUAAGCGUGUAGGCUGGUUUUCCAGGCAAAUCCGGAAAACCAAGGCUGAGGCGUGAUGACGAGGCACUACGGUGCUGAAGUGACAAAUGCCCUGCUUCCAGGAAAAGCCUCUAAGCAUCAGGUAACAUCAAAUCGUACCCCAAACCGACACAGGUGGUCAGGUAGAGAAUACCAAGGCGCUUGAGAGAACUCGGGUGAAGGAACUAGGCAAAAUGGUGCCGUAACUUCGGGAGAAGGCACGCUGAUAUGUAGGUGAAGCGACUUGCUCGUGGAGCUGAAAUCAGUCGAAGAUACCAGCUGGCUGCAACUGUUUAUUAAAAACACAGCACUGUGCAAACACGAAAGUGGACGUAUACGGUGUGACGCCUGCCCGGUGCCGGAAGGUUAAUUGAUGGGGUUAGCGGUAACGCGAAGCUCUUGAUCGAAGCCCCGGUAAACGGCGGCCGUAACUAUAACGGUCCUAAGGUAGCGAAAUUCCUUGUCGGGUAAGUUCCGACCUGCACGAAUGGCGUAAUGAUGGCCAGGCUGUCUCCACCCGAGACUCAGUGAAAUUGAACUCGCUGUGAAGAUGCAGUGUACCCGCGGCAAGACGGAAAGACCCCGUGAACCUUUACUAUAGCUUGACACUGAACAUUGAGCCUUGAUGUGUAGGAUAGGUGGGAGGCUUUGAAGUGUGGACGCCAGUCUGCAUGGAGCCGACCUUGAAAUACCACCCUUUAAUGUUUGAUGUUCUAACGUUGGCCCGUAAUCCGGGUUGCGGACAGUGUCUGGUGGGUAGUUUGACUGGGGCGGUCUCCUCCUAAAGAGUAACGGAGGAGCACGAAGGUUGGCUAAUCCUGGUCGGACAUCAGGAGGUUAGUGCAAUGGCAUAAGCCAGCUUGACUGCGAGCGUGACGGCGCGAGCAGGUGCGAAAGCAGGUCAUAGUGAUCCGGUGGUUCUGAAUGGAAGGGCCAUCGCUCAACGGAUAAAAGGUACUCCGGGGAUAACAGGCUGAUACCGCCCAAGAGUUCAUAUCGACGGCGGUGUUUGGCACCUCGAUGUCGGCUCAUCACAUCCUGGGGCUGAAGUAGGUCCCAAGGGUAUGGCUGUUCGCCAUUUAAAGUGGUACGCGAGCUGGGUUUAGAACGUCGUGAGACAGUUCGGUCCCUAUCUGCCGUGGGCGCUGGAGAACUGAGGGGGGCUGCUCCUAGUACGAGAGGACCGGAGUGGACGCAUCACUGGUGUUCGGGUUGUCAUGCCAAUGGCACUGCCCGGUAGCUAAAUGCGGAAGAGAUAAGUGCUGAAAGCAUCUAAGCACGAAACUUGCCCCGAGAUGAGUUCUCCCUGAGACUUAGAGUCUCCUGAAGGAACGUUGAAGACGACGACGUUGAUAGGCCGGGUGUGUAAGCGCAGCGAUGCGUUGAGCUAACCGGUACUAAUGAACCGUGAGGCUUAACCUUACAACGCCGAAG
rnacentral:rRNA from 1 species